rnacentral:rRNA from 1 species
CCUANGGGGGGCAGCAGUAGGGAAUAUUGGUUAAUGGGCGAAAGCCUGACCCAGCAACGCCGCGUGAACGAUGAAGGCCUUCGGGUCGUAAAGUUCUUUUUACAGGGAUGAGGAAGGACAGUACCUGUAGAAUAAGUCUCGGCUAACUACGUGCCAGCAGCCGCGGUAAUACAGAGGUCUCAAGCGUUGUUCGGAUUCAUUGGGCGUAAAGGGUGCGUAGGUGGCGAGGUAAGUCAGGUGUGAAAUUUCGGAGCUUAACUCCGAAACUGCAUUUGAUACUGCCUUGCUUGAGGACUGGAGAGGAGACUGGAAUUUACGGUGUAGCAGUGAAAUGCGUAGAGAUCGUAAGGAAGACCAGUGGCGAAGGCGGGUCUCUGGACAGUUCCUGACACUGAGGCACGAAGGCCAGGGGAGCAAACGGGAUUAGAUACCCUGNUANUC